GGAAGAUGUCAGGAGGAAGCCCAGCAGAGCUAGAGCCCCAAAGAGGGUGAAAAUGCCUUUCAAAGACGUGCUCAUAUCCUCAUACCUGGAACCUGGGAAUGUCAACUUAUUUGAGCAGAAAGGAUGAGGUCUCAGCCAAGGAAUGUCAACAGCCAGUAGAAGUAAACUGCAGCCAGAGGGACUGAUGAGGAGGUAUAAAAGACCAGCAGCCCCCUUGCCUCACGUGAGAUCGACCCUGUGGGACAGAAAGUGACCGAGUGUUUUCCCUGGGAUCAUUUGAAGCCUUAUGGCUGAGACCACAUCCUUGCUUUGCUCCCUCCUCUGUUCUAUCUGUUCCCCUCACUCCAUCUCUCCUGAGAACACUUCCCUAUGAAAUCACUUAUCCUCAGAUUCCCACCUCAGACUUUAUUUCUAUGAAAUGUGACUUAAGACAAGCAAAAUUUCAAACUUUAUCACUACCAGUCUUUGUAGCCCAA